UUGAUAGGCGAGGUGUGGAAGCGCAGUAAUGUGUGAAGCUAACUCGUACUAAUUGGCUGAUUGUCUUGACCAUA
rnacentral:rRNA from 1 species